AUCACUUCUCAGCCCUUUGGCUAAGAUCAAGUGUAGUGUCUGUUCUUACCAGUUUAAUAUCUGAUACGUCCUCAUCCACCAUCCCACGCGGUCAUCUAGCCAUCUCAU
rnacentral:snRNA from 1 species